rnacentral:rRNA from 1 species
GACGAACGCUGGCGGCGUGCUUAACACAUGCAAGUCGAACGCUGAAGCUCAGCUUUUGUUGGGUGGAUGAGUGGCGAACGGGUGAGUAACACGUGAGUAACCUGCCUCCUUCUUUGGGAUAACGCCCGGAAACGGGUGCUAAUACUGGAUAUUCACUGGUCUUCGCAUGGGGGUUGGUGGAAAGGGUUUUUCUGGUGGGGGAUGGGCUCGCGGCCUAUCAGCUUGUUGGUGGGGUGAUGGCCUACCAAGGCUUUGACGGGUAGCCGGCCUGAGAGGGUGACCGGUCACAUUGGGACUGAGAUACGGCCCAGACUCCUACGGGGGGCAGCAGUGUGGAAUAUUGCACAAUGGGCGCAAGCCUGAUGCAGCGACGCCGCGUGAGGGAUUGAGGCCUUCGGGUUGUGAACCUCUUUCGCUCAUGGUCAAGCCGAAACAAUGGUUGUGGUGAGGGUAGUGGGUAAAGAAGCGCCGGCUAACUACGUG